rnacentral:rRNA from 1 species
UACGUAGGGUGCGAGCGUUGUCCGGAAUUAUUGGGCGUAAAGGGCUCGUAGGCGGUUUGUCACGUCGGGAGUGAAAACUCGGGGCUCAACCCCGAGCCUGCUUCCGAUACGGGCAGACUAGAGGUAUGCAGGGGAGAAUGGAAUUCCUGGUGUAGCGGUGAAAUGCGCAGAUAUCAGGAGGAACACCGGUGGCGAAGGCGGUUCUCUGGGCAUGUCCUGACGCUGAGGAGCGAAAGUGUGGGGAGCGAACAGG